UUGCCGGCGACCGGCGGACGGGUGCGUAACGCGUAUGUAACCUACCUUUGACAGGGGGAUAACAUCGAGAAAUUGGUACUAAUACCCCAUAACAUCACCGGAGGCAUCUUCGGUGGUUGAAAACUACAGGUGGUCAGAGAUGGACAUGCGUUGUAUUAGCUAGUUGGUGAGGUAACGGCUCACCAAGGCGACGAUACAUAGGGGGACUGAGAGGUCAACCCCCCACAUUGGUACUGAGACACGGACCAAACUCCUACGGAAGGCAGCAG
rnacentral:rRNA from 1 species